GACGAACGCUGGCGGCGUGCUUAACACAUGCAAGUCGAACGGUAAGGCCCUUCGGGGUACACGAGUGGCGAACGGGUGAGUAACACGUGGGUGAUCUGCCCUGCACUCCGGGAUAAGCCUGGGAAACUGGGUCUAAUACCGGAUAGGACCACUGCCUGCAUGGGUGGUGGUGGAAAGCUUUUGCGGUGUGGGAUGGGCCCGCGGCCUAUCAGCUUGUUGGUGGGGUGAUGGCCUACCAAGGCGACGACGGGUAGCCGGCCUGCGAGUGUGACCGGCCACACUGGGACUGAGAUACGGCCCAGACUCCUACGGGAGGCAGCAGUGGGGAAUAUUGCACAAUGGGCGCAAGCCUGAUGCAGCGACGCCGCGUGAGGGAUGACGGCCUUCGGGUUGUAAACCUCUUUCAGCACCGACGAAGCGCAAGUGACGGUAGGUGCAGAAGAAGGACCGGCCAACUACGUGCCAGCAGCCGCCGCAG
rnacentral:rRNA from 1 species